UUUUUGAUUCAUUAAUUUGAGUCAAAGUUUAGUCGCAACAUGUAUAUUGUCAAUGAAAAAUAUUUAAUUUAAAGGUGGCCUGGAUGUCUCUUUUCCUUUUGUUGGCUUAUUAAAUCAAUUUUCAAAAUGCUAAGUUUAAUUGAUAGACACAAUUAAUAUUUUAACACUGUCAGCUUUAAAUUGAGCAUUGACUGCAUACAAUGCUGAUUUUGAGAUCAUGAAGGAAGAUGUUAGAGAUUGUCCAAAACAACGUCUAUAUUUUACCUGAUUUCUUCAUGAUAUUUUUGCUAUUAUAUAUAACCUGAUUUUUUUGGCUGAAAGUAGUCAUUGCAUUCGAUAUUGCUAUGGCAUCGAGUCAAUCAUCAUCCUCUGUAAUUAAUUGUGAUGAAAUUGAAUCACCGAGUUGUUGGUGUGGUUUGAAAUCGCCAUUAAAGAUCUCCCACACCUACAAAAAUCCUGGAAGGAAAUUUUAUGCUUGUCCGAAAUAUUACACGCUAGAACCAAGAUGUCAAUUCUUCAUCUGGGAAGAUAUAUUUCAAUCAGUGGUACGUGAGAAUAUAAACAAGACAAGAGAGAAUGAACUUCGGAAGAGGGAGGAUGCUUUAUUGUUGCGUGAAUAUGAAGCUCAAAUUGAAAAGGACAAACUAGUAGAGAGAGAGCAAAUGCUUAACAAGCAAGAGGGCGAACUUGGGAGAAGGAUAGUAGAGAAUAGGAUUGGUCGUAUUUUCUUGUGUCUAUUUUGGAUUGUAUCUCUUGUAAUAGUUUGGUUCUAAAUGUAGAUGUGUCACGAAAUGUUUUAGAUGUAAAUAACUUUAUCUUAUCCUCUCGGUGUAUAAUUAUGACAGCUGAUUGUGGAUAUUAUUUUUGCAUCUUUGUAAGUAAGGUGGGGCAAGAUUUUUGGACAGAUAAAAUCAACUGUCCAAGAUUUUGGUUGUGAAUAUCAUUUGGUUUUGUAAGGACUAAAAUGUAGUGUUGUUAGUAGAAAAGCCUAUUUAUGAACUUGUCAGAUACAAGCAUAUUAUAAUUUGAA